UCUUUGUUCUCCAGAUACCUGCUUGAACUCCAGGAAGUGCGUCUCACACGUUGCUGAAGCCCCUAUGUGACUCCCAUGGACUUAUUUCUCAGAUUGCUCCACAUGGGGCUUUGCUAGUGAUUUGACAGGCACCGUGCAGAUAUUCCUGUGCCAGCUCUGGUUCCAUGCUACAUUUCUCUUUAUCAUUCCCUGCUAAGUCUGGGAGAGAUAGAGGAGAGACACCACAGAGCAGAAGCUUGUUCCAGUGUAGUGGGGACCAGAAUGUGGAUCUUGCUCAGAGCAAAGAAGGCACCUUCCCAGGGGGCCUCCUGGCAGUGGCACACCUAGCUGACCACAAGUUGCCAUGCACAAGGACCCAGGCUUGAGCCCUCACCUCCCACCAGCGGGG